rnacentral:rRNA from 1 species
UAGGUUAACGAGGCGAACCGGGGGAACUGAAACAUCUAAGUACCCCGAGGAAAAGAAAUCAACCGAGAUUCCCCCAGUAGCGGCGAGCGAACGGGGAGCAGCCCAGAGUCUGAAUCAGCUUGUGUGUUAGUGGAACGGUCUGGAAAGUCCGACGGUACAGGGUGAUAGUCCCGUACACCAAAAUGCACAGGCUGUGAACUCGAAGAGUAGGGCGGGACACGUGGUAUCCUGUCUGAAUAUGGGGGGACCAUCCUCCAAGGCUAAAUACUCCUGACUGACCGAUAGUGAACCAGUACCGUGAGGGAAAGGCGAAAAGAACCCCGGCGAGGGGAGUGAAAAAGAACCUGAAACCGUGUACGUACAAGCAGUGGGAGCACCUUCGGGUGUGACUGCGUACCUUUUGUAUAAUGGGUCAGCGACUUAUAUUCUGUAGCAAGGUUAACCGUAUAGGGGAGCCGCAGGGAAACCGAGUCUUAACUGGGCGUUAAGUUGCAGGGUAUAGACCCGAAACCCGGUGAUCUAGCCAUGGGCAGGUUGAAGGUUGGGUAACACUAACUGGAGGACCGAACCGACUAAUGUUGAAAAAUUAGCGGAUGACUUGUGGCUGGGGGUGAAAGGCCAAUCAAACCGGGAGAUAGCUGGUUCUCCCCGAAAGCUAUUUAGGUAGCGCC